AACCUCCGCAAUGUGAGAAAUCGCGACGGGGGGAUCCCAAGUGCCAUUCUUAACGGGAUGGCUUUUCAUUAGUGUAAAGAGCUUUUGGAAUAAGAGCUGGGCAAGACCGGUGCCAGCCGCCGCGGUAACACCGGCAGCUCUAGUGGUAGCAAUUUUUAUUGGGCCUAAAGCGUCCGUAGCCGGUUUAAUAAGUCUCUGGUGAAAUCCUGUAGCUUAACUGUGGGAAUUGCUGGAGAUACUAUUAGACUUGAGACCGGGAGAGGUUAGAGGUACUCCCAGGGUAGAGGUGAAAUUCUGUAAUCCUGGGAGGACCGCCUGUUGCGAAGGCGUCUAACUGGAACGGUUCUGACGGUGAGGGACGAAAGUUAGGGGCGCGAACCGGAUUAGAUACCCGGGUAGUCCUAACUGUAACGAUGCGGACUUGGUGUUGGGGUGGCUUUGAGCUGCUCCAGUGCCGAAGGGAAGCUGUUAAGUCCGCCGCCUGGGAAGUACGGUCGCAAGACUGAAACUUAAAGGAAUU
rnacentral:rRNA from 1 species